GUCGUCGCUUCAUUCGCUGUUCUCCUUCCUGCUCUGAUUCUUUGGCUAAUUCGGAAAAAAAGAGCCGGUGUCAGAAGAGCGACUGAUGACUCUGUGGAGCAGACAGAUGAUGUGACUUAUACUCAAGUUACUGUGAACAAGAAAAACAGAGACAAAAAGAACAAGGUUCGCUGUGAUGAUAAAGUGACUUACGCUUCCAUCAGAGGAGCAGAAGCUGGAGCUCAGGAAAACUGCAGUCAAAUUUAUGCCUCUGUGAACAAGAACCAUCACAAAUCAGACAAAUAAUUAUACAAAACCACAUAUUAUAUACUUGACUCCUAAUGUUUUUUUUAGUGCCAUUAUAUAUACUUUCAGUGUCUUUUACAUAUUAGGAAACAAGCUCUUGUUUAUUUGUAGUUAUUGGUUGUUCUGGUCAUUUUGUCAUGUUAUUUUGUACAGUAUCUGUCUGUGUGUCUUUAUU